GGGACUGUGGCUCAGUGGUAGAGUACUUGCCUAGCAUGCAGGAGGCCCUGGGUUCAAUUCCUCACUACCA
rnacentral:tRNA from 1 species